rnacentral:rRNA from 1 species
UUGCGAAGCCGGGCGAAGCUGAUCCAGCGACGCCGCGUGGGAGGAAGAAGGCCUUCGGGGUGUAAACUCCUUUUCUCAGGGAAAAAGGAUGAUGGUACCUGAGGAAUAAGCCCCGGCUAACUACGUGCCAGCAGCCCCGGUAAAAUACGUGCCAGCAGCCGCGGUAAUAA